CAGGAUGAACGCUAGCGACAGGCCUAACACAUGCAAGUCGAGGGGCAGCACAAGGAGCAAUCUGAGGUGGCGACCGGCGCACGGGUGAGUAACACGUAUGCAACCUGCCUGUAAGCGGGGAAUAACCCGUUGAAAGACGGACUAAUACCGCAUAAUACUAAAUUACUGCAUGGUAAUUUAUUUAAACAUUUAUGGCUUACAGAUGGGCAUGCGCAUGAUUAGCUAGUUGGAGAGGUAACGGCUCCCCAAGGCAACGAUCAUUAGGGGUUCUGAGAGGAAGGUCCCCCACACUGGUACUGAGACACGGACCAGACUCCUACGGGAGGCAGCAGUGAGGAAUAUUGGUCAAUGGACGAGAGUCUGAACCAGCCAAGUCGCGUGCAGGAAGAAUUGUUCUAUGGAUUGUAAACUGCUUUUGCAGGGGAAUAAAGUGCAUCACGUGUGAUGUUUUGUAUGUACUCUGCGAAUAAGGAUCGGCUAACUCCGUGCCAGCCGCCGC
rnacentral:rRNA from 1 species